UACGGGAGGCAGCAGUAGGGAAUCUUCCGCAAUGGACGCAAGUCUGACGGAGCAACGCCGCGUGAGUGAUGAAGGUUUUCGGAUCGUAAAGCUCUGUUGCCAGGGAAGAACGCCAAGGAGAGUAACUGCUCUUUGGGUGACGGUACCUGAGAAGAAAGCCCCGGCUAACUACGUGCCAGCAGCCGCGGUAAUA
rnacentral:rRNA from 1 species